UACGUAGGUGGCAAGCGUUGUCCGGAUUUACUGGGCGUAAAGAGCGCGCAGGCGGUCGAUUUAGUCGCGUGUGAAAGCCCCCCGGCUCAACUGGGGAGGGUCACGCGAUACUGAUCGACUCGAAGGCAGGAGAGGGUAGUGGAAUUCCCGGUGUAGUGGUGAAAUGCGUAGAUAUCGGGAGGAACACCAGUGGCGAAGGCGACUACCUGGCCUGUUCUUGACGCUGAGGCGCGAAAGCUAGGGGAGCAAACGGG
rnacentral:rRNA from 1 species